CCUACGGGGGGCAGCAGUAGGGAAUCUUCGGCAAUGGACGAAAGUCUGACCGAGCAACGCCGCGUGAGUGAAGAAGGUUUUCGGAUCGUAAAACUCUGUUGUUAGAGAAGAACAAGGAUGAGAGUAGAAUGUUCAUCCCUUGACGGUAUCUAACCAGAAAGCCACGGCUAACUACGUGCCAGCAGCCGCGGUAAUACGUAGGUGGCAAGCGUUGUCCGGAUUUAUUGGGCGUAAAGCGAGCGCAGGCGGUUUCUUAAGUCUGAUGUGAAAGCCCCCGGCUCAACCGGGGAGGGUCAUUGGAAACUGGGAAACUUGAGUGCAGAAGAGGAGAGUGGAAUUCCAUGUGUAGCGGUGAAAUGCGUAGAUAUAUGGAGGAACACCAGUGGCGAAGGCGGCUCUCUGGUCUGUAACUGACGCUGAGGCUCGAAAGCGUGGGGAGCAAACAGGAUUAGAUACCCCUGUAGUC
rnacentral:rRNA from 1 species